GCAGAGCAUCCUAGGGAGGCAGCAGUGGGGAAUAUUGCACAAUGGGCGCAAGCCUGAUGCAGCCAUGCCGCGUGUAUGAAGAAGGCCUUCGGGUUGUAAAGUACUUUCAGCAGUGAGGAAGGUGGGUAUGUUAAUAGCAUACUCAUUUGACGUUAGCUGCAGAAGAAGCACCGGCUAACUCCGUGCCAGCAGCCGCGGUAAUACGGAGGGUGCGAGCGUUAAUCGGAAUUACUGGGCGUAAAGCGCAUGCAGGUGGUUUGUUAAGUCAGAUGUGAAAGCCCGGGGCUCAACCUCGGAAUUGCAUUUGAAACUGGCAAACUAGAGUACUGUAGAGGGGGUAGAAUUUCAGGUGUAGCGGUGAAAUGCGUAGAGAUCUGAAGGAAUACCGGUGGCGAAGGCGGCCCCCUGGACAGAUACUGACACUCAGAUGCGAAAGCGUGGGGAGCAAACAGGAUUAGAUACCCUGGUAG
rnacentral:rRNA from 1 species